GCUCAGGCGUCGUCCAAAGCGCUCCAGGAAGCGCAAGCCGAGGUGAAGCUGCUGACGACCGCCUUGCA